rnacentral:tRNA from 1 species
GGAGACGUGGCCGAGUGGCUGAAGGCGGCGGUUUGCUAAAUCGUUGUACUCCGAAAGGGGUACCGGAGGUUCGAAUCCUCUCGUCUCCGCCA